UCUGAGAGGACACAUGAUAAUUCAUACAGGACAAAAACCAUUUGGCUGUUCUGAAUGUGGUCAAAGAUAUGGACUAAAGAGUACUUUGGACAAACACAUGAUUAUUCAUACGGGACAAAAACCAUUUGGCUGUUCCGAGUGCAGUCAAAGAUUUGGACGAAACAGCACCUUGAACAGACACAUGAUUAUUCAUGGCACCGCUACCAGUGCUGCCAGGACUCGUCUGUCUUGUGCCAUCACUCAGCUGGAUAACCCACCAGAUCACAAAAGUACUGUUCCUGAACCCCAGCAACAACAAUCUCAUAGUGCCAAAAGAAAGUAGAAAAACUGCAACACUGAAUUGAUCCAUUGAUGAGAAGAAAAAGAUCUUACACUGCUUUUCUUACUCAAAAUAUAAAAGUGGGGCAGGGAAAAAAAGGCAGUAUUUGAGGAAAGAAUAAAAGAAGUGGAUCUACCAGCAGAGAAGAAAUAAGACACCAC